CCUACGGGAGGCAGCAGUGGGGAAUUUUGGACAAUGGGCGCAAGCCUGAUCCAGCCAUGCCGCGUGCGGGAAGAAGGCCUUCGGGUUGUAAACCGCUUUUGUUCGGGAAGAAAUCGACUCCAUUAAUACUGGGGUUGGAUGACGGUACCGGAAGAAUAAGCACCGGCUAACUACGUGCCAGCAGCCGCGGUAAUACGUAGGGUGCGAGCGUUAAUCGGAAUUACUGGGCGUAAAGCGUGCGCAGGCGGUUUCGCAAGUCAGAUGUGAAAGCCCCGGGCUCAACCUGGGAACUGCAUUUGAAACUACGAGGCUAGAGUGUGUCAGAGGGGGGUAGAAUUCCACGUGUAGCAGUGAAAUGCGUAGAGAUGUGGAGGAAUACCGAUGGCGAAGGCAGCCCCCUGGGAUAACACUGACGCUCAUGCACGAAAGCGUGGGGAGCAAACAGGAUUAGAUACCCUGGUAGUCCACGCCCUAAACGAUGUCAACUAGUUGUCGGAGAAGCAAUUCUUUGGUAACGCAGCUAACGCGUGAAGUUGACCGCCUGGGGAGUACGGUCGCAAGAUUAAAACUCAAAGGAAUUGACGGCUGAGAGNGCGAGACGACGACGAGGGAGGAGG
rnacentral:rRNA from 1 species